UGCAAGUCGAGCGGACGUUUUUGAAGCUUGCUUCAAAAACGUUAGCGGCGGACGGGUGAGUAACACGUGGGCAACCUACCUUAUCGACUGGGAUAACUCCGGGAAACCGGGGCUAAUACCGGAUAACAUCUAGCACCUCCUGGUGCCGGAUUAAAAGAGGGCUUCUUGCUCUCACGAUGAGAUGGGCCCGCGGCGCAUUAGCUAGUUGGAGAGGUAACGGCUCCCCAAGGCGACGAUGCGUAGCCGACCUGAGAGGGUGAUCGGCCACACUGGGACUGAGACACGGCCCAGACUCCUACGGGAGGCAGCAGUAGGGAAUCUUCCGCAAUGGACGAAAGUCUGACGGAGCAACGCCGCGUGAGUGAUGAAGGGUUUCGGCUCGUAAAGCUCUGUUAUGAGGGAAGAACACGUACCGUUCGAAUAGGGCGGUACCUUGACGGUACCUCAUCAGAAAGCCACGGCUAACUACGUGCCAGCAGCCGCGGUAAUACGUAGGUGGCAAGCGUUGUCCGGAAUUAUUGGGCGUAAAGCGCGCGCAGGCGGCCUUUUAAGUCUGAUGUGAAAUCUUGCGGCUCAACCGCAAGCGGCCAUUGGAAACUGGGAGGCUUGAGUACAGAAGAGGAGAGUGGAAUUCCACGUGUAGCGGUGAAAUGCGUAGAUAUGUGGAGGAACACCAGUGGCGAAGGCGACUCUCUGGUCUGUAACUGACGCUGAGGCGCGAAAGCGUGGGGA
rnacentral:rRNA from 1 species